rnacentral:lncRNA from 1 species
AGUGCCCGGCGCACUUCCUCAGGGGCACACAGCCCGGGUCUUCUCAAGUCAUGUUCGAUAUCUAGUUAAGGGGUACAUUUAUCUCCAGUGUUCCCCGGGACCUUCCCUUUUGAUUUUCAAGAACAUUUUCUUCCCUCUGCCAGAGCAGUCCUUUCGAAUCAAAGGCUCGGCUUUUCCAAAGCGUAGUUUCUGAUGUGGGCUUCAGUGGACUGGCUGCGAAGUUCCUGAGACAAUGAGAGGGGAUGCUGGCUGUCUCUUUCUCUUUAUCUUCUCGCAGUAAAGCUCCAGUUCUCCUUGAGGUGACCCUUCACUUGUUGUGUGAAGUCAACAAAACUGACCAGCACACCAUCUGAAUGCUACAGCGGGAUGGAGAUGGGAGGCGAAGCCUUGGAAGCUGGAGGGUGAAUAGCUGGUGUGCACAACCCCCUAGCAACGGGCAAACAAGGCAGGAGGAGUGUGGAAUGGGAGUCAGUGCUUAAUGGGCACUAAGUUUCCAUUUGGUUGUAGAGACGAUGGUGCUGAUGGCUAUAAGGCGUCUUGAAAGUGCUGAAUGCCACCAAACUGCACAAUUGAAACAGUUAAGAUGGUGAAUGUUGUGUGUGUUUUCCUGCCGCUGAAUACUGUAUUUUUUUUUUCUGGUAUGUUUUAUUCUUGUGUAAUCAGCUUUGUGGUUUUUUUUCCCCUUCCAGAUUAACUCGAGAAUCAACUUGUCACAUUCUAUUAAAAGUCCCUUUGAUAUUUUUACUGCAGUUACAUCAAGUUUAUGGAUUGCCUUGGGGAGAAGUGACAUUUUUAUGGUCCUGAUCUUUCCCCCAGGUGGAGGCCUCCUCAUUGACUGGGAUCUCUUUAUGUCUCUCAGUAAAGUUGUAUAAUUCC